rnacentral:rRNA from 1 species
AUGCAGCGAGGCGCCACCAUCGACGCACAUGGCCUCUGUAGCUUUCUGGAACUCAUGGUCACCGGACUCAUCAUCCUCGUUGUGAUCAUCGUCUUCCUGCUUCUUGUCGCGGCCCCGGGCGAGCCUCUCCUGCUGAUUAUCUUUGUCGCGGCGGCCUCCUUGGGCGCCACGUUUUUUGCCGGAUCCAUCAUCACCCUCUUGGCCCUUUCCUUGUCCCGCCGCUCAUACUCGGCUUUCUGCUUCUUAGCGAGCAGCUCAACUUGCCAGCAGUUCCGGAGGUUGUGGCUUGGUGCGGUGGAUCUUGCAAUACUGCUUGUCGGAGCCCCCUGGCUUGUCGGCAGCCGCCAAGGCCCAGCAAGCGACACACCCGGUAACUUCCUUGUCAGGGUCGCUUGCCUUGCACUAGUAGAAAAGGGGGCAAUGGCCCAGGCCAGUUCAGCCCAUUAG